rnacentral:lncRNA from 1 species
AGAGUAUGUAUUAUGUAUAUAUAUUCAUAUUAUUAGCAGUAAUGACAUUAUUGGAAAUAAAUAUAGAAAAUGAUAGGUAGAAAAAUUUGAAGGAAUAAAAGAAAGGAGGUCCAGAAUUAUUUUUUUCUAUUUUUUUUUUUAAAUAGAAGACUAUUUAGAAACAAAACUUUUAUUAUUUUUGUGAACUCAGUAUAGUGUUCAAUUGAGAUACAUAAUUACAAAUGAUAAAAGGUGAUAUAUGAUAACUCUGUGCCCUAGUAACUUUAAGUACACAUGCAUUACAAUUAUAUAGGCCCUUUCAAAUUAUUUUUUAAAAAUUUGUAUUCAAGAUACAUAAAUAAAUAGAGUUAUAAAAUUAGAAGACCAUUCAUACUAGUGUAUCUGUUUACCUCUGAGUUCUAUUUGGAAAGGAUAAAAUGGCAAGACAAGAGGAAUGAAAAAUUCAAAUUCAUUUUUGAGAAGUGUAGGAAAACUGAUAAAAAUGACUCUGUGGGUGUCUUACCUUUGCUGCUUUUGAGUAUGUUCUACUAAAUUUUUCUUUUCCUUAGUAUAAUAGCCAAUAGUGUAAGAUAAGAUUGGUUGAACUGCGGUUGUAGCUCAGGGAUAGAAGCACUUACCUGGUAUGUGUGAGGCACUGGGUUCAAUUCUCAGCACCACAUAUAAAUAAAUAAAGGCCCAUUGACAAAAAUCAUUGAUUGUUAUCUGGAUCUUUCAGAGUUCUCACCCUUUCCUAAAUUCUAUAUGUUCAGACUUUUAGGUCUCUGCAAUAUAGUUUCUACAUUGUCCAUAUAAAGUCCUAUGACAGAUGAUAAAAAAUCUCAACUAGAAUAUUAAAAAUACCCUAUUUGGAAAUAACUAGAAUAGAUUUAAUUCCUUUGGACCCUUUAGAAUUUGGUAUUUUAUGUUUCUAAAUAAUUACAGUGAUAAUUUCCCUUUUUUAUUAUUGUUUAAAUAUAUUGAGCCAAUAAAGCAUUUUAGUUCAUGUCUUUAUAGUCACCAUAAAUUGUUGAGUUAAUCAAAUGUGUUUUUGUCUGCCUUCUUUUAAGGUAGUCAUUGCAAAGUCCACAGGAUCGUUGUCAUCCUACAUAUGCCAUGAGGGACUGUUCAUAGAAACAAUUCAUUUAAUUGCCUGAAUUGUGAAACAUUUUCUUCCAUCUGUAUUAUUAAGAAGAAACCAUAAUGAUACCUAAAUCAGAACAUGUUGCUUCUCACACCAGUGUAGAAGAGAGUAAAAAGAGAUACUGCUGAACUAAAUGAUUAUAUUCCACAUACAGUAGGAAAAAUUGGGGAUUCUGCUGUAUCACUGGGUACAAAAAAGAACCUUUCUAUAUACACACAUACACACACAUACACAUUUUUGACCAUGUAAUAUUCAUUUCUGUGAGGUCUAAGGAAAAGUAUCCUAAACAGAAAAAUUUUAUAGUAGAAAGAUGCUCAUUAUUUUUAGUAAUCAGAAAAUGGAGAUAGCCAGAGUAGGAGGAUGGAAUACAAUGCAGCUGUUUAAAAUGAUAUUUCUAUAAUCUAUAGAAAAAUUCUUAUAGUAAGAUUACAUAUAAAUACAUGUAAUGUGUACUAAUAUAUAUGUAAAUUACACCUUGUGUUCGAAGCUAUCUGAAAAUGCAUAGAAAAAAACUAAAAGGAAGUACUCAAAAUUUAGAUAUCUUAGUUUCUUCCUUCUUUGCUUUAUUUUCCAUAUAUUUUCUAAUGAGUGUAUAUUACUUUUUUAUAGUUGAAAAGAAAGUAAACUUUAAAAAAGAAGAAAAGUUAUACUAUAAGAUAUUAUAAUUUAUUCUGAUGAUAUAUGUGAGUCAUUUUGAAAGAAUUGUUUUUGAAUGUGGAAGAAUUAUUUCUGCUUGAGUUUAGAGAUGAACUAGAUAUAGUUUUAUAAAACUGUUACUUUGCUUCUGUUUGAGACCUGAAAUGAGAAACAUAAGUCAUUUUUUUAUACUUAUGGGACACAUUUAAGAACACACUAUUCUGUAUUCAGAAAAUAUCAAUUAUCUAAGCAAUGACAAGUAUGCCAUCUAUUAUAAAUACUUUCUCUUAUAAAUACAGCCUGGUAAUGCAGCUUUUAAAUGUUCAGUAAAGACAUAAAAUAGUACUUUAAGUAGCUUUUCAUGUCUAAAAGUAUCUUAAACAGUUUGUAUAACAUUGAUGGAGCCAUUGAAAUAUAUUUUGAGUUAAUAGUUGCCUUAAGUUUUAAACUGGCUUGUCUAAGUAUGUAUCUAUACUGUUUGAUAAAUAAAUACAUACCUCUAUUUUACCUCUGAAGGCUAUAUCAUAGCUUGGGGAAAAUACAGUUACAUCUUGAAAUGCAGAAAAAAACUAAGCAAUGUUGUCAGUCAGAAGACUUUUAUUUCAUGAACGAUAAUGCUGUCCUAAAACACAACCAAGGGAGCUAUGUGAAACAGAUACCCCUAUGUAAAGACUAUUUACCAAGAAGUCAUUUUGAGGUAUUGGAGUGGUGGCUCAGUGGUGGAGCACUUGCCUAGCAUGUGAGAAGCCCUGGGUUCGAUUCUUAGCACUGCAUGUAAAUAAAUAAAAUAAAUGUCCAUUGACAACUAAAAAAUAUUAAAAAAAGAAGUCAUUUUGACUUAUCUUCAUUAUGAUUAUGACUAGCUAUAAUCCUAAUGCCUUUCUUCCCCCAGAUUAAAGAACAAAUGUAAAAAUUGGAAAACAAAAACAAAAUCAGCUUAUCAGUGAAGAUAAGUACUGGGAAACCAAAGCUGAAGCAAAAGCUCUAAUAGACAUUUUGCCUGUGCUUUCACUUGAAAUUCUGCACAUCACUAUUAGAGAUGUAAACCUUAUUUUCUCAUCACAAGUCAUUGGUGGUCUAUGAGUUUGGGAUGUUGGAGUCAAUUUUUCACAGAUGUAUAUUUGUAGUUUUUGAUAGUUUUGAAUUAUAGAAGCAUCAAUAAACUUCAUGACUAAUAAUUGCUAACCUCAUUUUGAAUGAAUACUGUGAUUAUCAUAUGUUGUCAGGUACUGUUUUGGGUAUUGUUUUCAAGGACUUCUGUUAGAGUUUCAGAUAUAUCAAGACUAGCCUCAGAGUGAUAUAUAGAAUGUAUGUGACAGCUUUAGGUUUCCUUGUUGGUGUAUGAAUGUUUAAGAGUACAUAUAGAAUUUUUUUUUUUUUUUAGGUUUGGCAAUUUGCUAGGGAAUACAUUUAUUUUAAUUAUAGAAGGCAUGAGAUGCAUCAUAUAGGGUGGCAACUUAGUAUACGCGUGGGACGUUUAAUUGAGAGAUGUUAUUUUGAGUCCCUUCUUUCAUGAGUUCUGCUGUGAACUGCAAACUGUGUGCAUGUGUAUAAAAGGUUAAGAGCCCGGGUAGCUGAGUGGGGUGCCAUGCUGUUAGCAGACGACAAAGGCAGUAUUACUCACCAGGUGCACGCCGUCAGCUCUGUAGAAGAUUCCAUCUUCAUGGAGUCAUCUCCUGGUCCACUUUUUCUUGAAGCCAGGUAACAUUUCCCACAACAAUGGGUUGACCUUGUUAGAGGUUUUCCAGCUAGAAAAACUGAAACCUAAAUAUUCUCUAACUUUUAAAAAAAAAAUAAAACAUUGCCUGUUGAAAGAACUAACUUCGAAGGUAAAAUGAACGUGUGUUAUCACUAUGCUUUGUGAAAAAUAAUUAUAUGAGGAAUGAUUUUUUUUUUCUUCCUUAAACUGGUGAGAGUGAGAAAUGGGAAUGGCAUGUGUUACUUGGUCAUGGAGAUGAGCAUGGAGCACUGAAUUGUGGAAUUUUGUUUCUAGGGAUGUACAGACUGCAUUUUGUGAUAACUAAUCUAAUCAUUCUGUGACUGUUACUGAGGCACAGUAGUUUUUUUGCAAUUUGAAUUCAUACUCUUGCAUAUAUCAGUGUCUUGGUGUUUUAAUGAUGUCUCACUUUUGCUUCAAUCUGUUAAACUUAGUUGUAAAAUAACCUAAACUAGAUAGGCUUUCCAAGCUUUUAAUUCUGGAAGUUUUUUACAUCACCUCAGUUGUGUUCACUAAACUAAGACUUCAGUGACACUUGAAUAAAAUGUUCCAACCUUUACUUUAAAGCUUUAUCCUCUUCAUGGUAAGCUGUCAUACUUGAGACUCUUGAGGGUGCUUAGCAGUGUUAUUAACUGAGCAUGCUCACAAACUCAGUUUGUGGUACAGGCUGUCCCCGUUCUUGUCAUGCAUCAGAUGAUUUCUUUUAUGUCAUUACCUUUCAACCCAUCAUGUUACAUUAUGUCCUUUAUUUGGUAUCAUUAUCACUGCCUGUCUGACUAACAUCAGGGUUUUGUUUUUGGUUUUGGUUUUGUUUUCUGUUUAAUUAGUAGUAACCAAAUGAAUGUAAACUGGCAAAUCUUACCCAUUCCCUUUGGGAUUUUGGGGGGGUAAACUUUAAUGGAACCCACUGUUUCCAAAGUUGACUUUAAUCUUUGCUCUUAAAAAAGUAUUGUCACUUGUCGCUUAACUGCUUACAAGAUAGCUUUUGGUUCCUGGGAUAGAAGAUUGUACCUUAGUUACAUUCCAUGAAUAUGACCCUCAAAAUUAUGAGAACCCAGCCUUAAUUCUCAUUUCACAGGGCCAUGGUGGUAUUAAAAAGUGGUGGAUUGAUUUCUCUAAUUUCAUUUACCAUGUGAAGAAAUUUCAAAAUUUUAGAUGCCAAUUCCCAAGUAGUAUCAAAGACAUUUGCUUUUACUAAUUUGUCUGCAUUAUAUUAUUUUCUUAAGAUAGUGGUUAUCUAAGCAAUGUGUAUACAUGGCUGUACUGAUAAAGGUUUUGGUAAGCAUUACUGUAUGCAAUUAGUUUGACAAGUGUGCUAAUACUUCCCUAAAAGUAGACUGUUAUAUGACUGGUGUGAGAUUUUCCUACUAACCAUGUUUUAAAUAUUAAUUAUAUUUUCUGACUACAGGCAUGUGACACAAGCUGACCUCAAGAGCUCCACGUUUUGGCUCCGAGCAAGUUUUGGUGCUACUGUUUUUGCAGUUUUGGGGUUUGCUAUGUACAAAGCAUUAUUGAAACAGCGAUGAUUAAAAAAAAAUACUGGCCCUACCAAAAACAGAUACUUUUAUGUACAUUCUGAAUGCUUUAAAUUCUGCUAGAAAUAUUGAGAUAUUUAUACAUGCAGAGUUACUUUAUUAAUAUUUGUAAUUCAUGCAUAAGAAUAUUUUAAUGAUAGUAAUAACUACAGUAUUGGCUAGCAUAUGGAAAGAAAACAGCUUCAUAGCCAAACUAAAAUGGCUACAUUUCAGAGGCCAAAAGGGAAUAUUUUGUAAAUAAUGUAUAUAUUCAGGUAAAAUAUGGUCUCCCAAACUGAGUUCUAGAAAUGAUGUUUCUAGACAUUUCUACAUGGUAUUGUUAAUGCUCACUUGGCUCACUCUCCUAGGUUUAAGUCAUUCCAGAGAUUAUAUUUACUCAUGGAUCACUUAUUUAUUUCACAUUUACUCAAAAUGAUCCUUUGGGUACAUGAGACACAAUUUGCCAUUUUCUCUCUAUUUUUAAAAACACACAAGUCAAUGUCUGCUUACCAACACAAUUUACUUUCAGUCACUUAUGAUAGGCCAGCCUUGAAGCCGUUGUGCAGUCUAGAAAAUUGUAUAGCUGAGUGUAUACUCACUCUCCUUUAAGGAGGCAGUAAGGUAAAAGCAAUGAGCUGAGGAGUUCUCUAUGUGAUUAUGUUGCUUCCUUUGUCAGUAUGUGAAAUUUUAUAGCCCUUUCAAUCAAAUGAGAAAAAUAAUUUGUAUAUUAUCACUGUUUUUAGUUUAAAUAAACAAGUUACCCUUACUGCUGUUGGAAUUUCCUCCCAAAGUAUAAAUCAUUCUAUAAUGGCUGUGUCUAUUAUAGUAUAUUACAGUAGCUGCAUGUGUCAUAAAGUGUUCUAUAUCUGCUAGGAUAACCUAGAAGCAGCACUUUUUUAAAUGGUAAAAUAAAUCUAAUGAAUAUAAACUCUCAUGAUAAACCUAUUUUUUUCCAUCAUUGACCUUUUCAAGUAUUUAAAUAAAUAAAUGCUGUGUACUGUGAU